UCUCGCGUCAGGAUAUGCCUAGGUGGGAUUAGCUAGUUGGUGAGGUAAUGGCUCACCAAGGCGACGAUCCCUAGCUGGUCUGAGAGGAUGAUCAGCCACACUGGAACUGAGACACGGUCCAGACUCCUACGGGAGGCAGCAGUGGGGAAUAUUGCACAAUGGGCGCAAGCCUGAUGCAGCCAUGCCGCGUGUGUGAAGAAGGCCUUCGGGUUGUAAAGCACUUUCAGUCGUGAGGAAGGUAGUGUAGUUAAUAGCUGCAUUAUUUGACGUUAGCGACAGAAGAAGCACCGGCUAACUCCGUGCCAGCAGCCGCGGUAAUACGGAGGGUGCGAGCGUUAAUCGGAAUUACUGGGCGUAAAGCGCAUGCAGGUGGUUUGUUAAGUCAGAUGUGAAAGCCCGGGGCUCAACCUCGGAAUAGCAUUUGAAACUGGCAGACUAGAGUACUGUAGAGGGGGGUAGAAUUUCA
rnacentral:rRNA from 1 species